AGUGCAGAGUGACACAGACAGGCGACAGCGUCGCUGAGCACCAACUUCUAUUCCACGGAGGCAGACAGCGAAAACCAUUUCAUAACCAUGGCAAGGCAUGAGAGAAGCACAGGGUAGCUGCAAAGUUUUGGAAAAGACCUCUGCAACAACUGGAAGCACAGUGUACCCAAGUGGUGGGUCUCGUCUGUGGCAAUAUAAUUUUCUAUCUGUCCAAUUGAAUAUGGCUGUAAAGGGAAUAAAACCCCAUGUAAUCU
rnacentral:lncRNA from 1 species